rnacentral:rRNA from 1 species
AUUGAACGCUGGCGGCAGGCCUAACACAUGCAAGUCGAGCGGAUGAAGGGAGCUUGCUCCUGGAUUCAGCGGCGGACGGGUGAGUAAUGCCUAGGAAUCUGCCUGGUAGUGGGGGAUAACGUCCGGAAACGGGCGCUAAUACCGCAUACGUCCUGAGGGAGAAAGUGGGGGAUCUUCGGACCUCACGCUAUCAGAUGAGCCUAGGUCGGAUUAGCUAGUUGGUGGGGUAAAGGCCUACCAAGGCGACGAUCCGUAACUGGUCUGAGAGGAUGAUCAGUCACUGGGGAAGUGAGAAGCGGUCCAGACACCGACGGGGGGCAGCGGGGGGGAAUGUGGGAAGAUGGGGGAAAGCCUGACCAAGGCUGGGCGGGGGGGUGAAGAAGGUCUUCGGGUUGGAAAGCAUUUUAAGUGGGGGGGAAGGGGAGUAAGUUAAUCCCUGGGUGUUUGAACGUAACCAACAAAAAAGGCCCGGCUAAAUUUGGG